CAGAACCCAAGGAAGCCCUGCCUUCUGAUAGCCACACUCAAUGCAAGGCUGCGUAUUUCACCCUGGAGGGAGUGCUGGUUUGCCACAAAACUCCAUCGUAACUGAAAGAGGAAAUCUUCUACAAAUUCCAGAGACCUUCUUGGAGGAUGAGAAGCAGCCACUAGUUGACAGGAGGGGAAGUGAGGCAUGUAGUCUUCAAGGGAGCAGACCACCGUGGGAGUUAUAAAAUAUCAGCGACGCCUCUGGGUGGGUUCGAACCGCCAACCUUUUAGUUAACAGCCAAACGCGCUAGCCGAUUGCGCCACAGAGACAUGGCUGAGCUCCUGAUUUCGUUCUAAAAGAGGGUAAGCUGUCACUAAACGCUAGCUAGCACCAUCCGCCUUUUGCAAAAUGAUUGGGUAAUCUCCAAAGCCUGACCAACAUGGUGAAAACCUGCCUCCACUAAAAACACAAAAUUAGCUGGGGGUGGUGGUGCAUGCCUGUAAUCCCAGCUACUUAGGAGGCUGAGGCAGGAGAAUUGCUUGAACCUGAGAGGCGGAGGUUGCAAUGAGCUGAGAUCGCACCCUUGCACUCCAGCCUGGGCAACAACAGCAAAAACUCCACCUCAAAAAAAAAAAAAAAAGAAAAGAAAAGAAAAUGAGCUAAGGAGCUAGGCUUCCUUAUUUCACAACCUUGGCUCUGUCUCCUAUGAAACCAGGGCAACUAUUUAACCCCUCCAUGUCUGAGUUUCCUCAUGUAUAAAUGAAGGGAGCAAUAGUACCUAGCUUAUAAGGCCAUUAUAAGGAUUUUAAAAGUUAAUCUAAAGUGCUUAGGACAGUGUAUGGCAUAGAGCAAGCACUCAGUAAAUCCAUUCAUUCAAUAAAUGUUUAUUGAAUAUAGGUGUGGCUGCUGUUUUGGCUGAUGAGUAUACUAAAGUCAGUGAAACAGACGAAAUCUGUGGAGCUUUCUUCCUUGGGGGAGGAGGCCAACAACAACAACGAAUACACACAGAGGAAGAGCAAUGGAAUGAAUUGUGUUCCCUCCCCUCCCAAAUUCAUAUGUUGAAGCCCUAACUGCCAACGUGAUGGUAUCUGGAGAUGGGGCAUUUGGGAAAUAAUUAGAUUUAGAAGAGAUCAUGAAGGUGGGAGACUCGUGAUGGGAUUAGUGCCCUUUUAAGAAGAGAAAGAGUCAGGUGCAGUGGCUCUUGCCUGUAAUCUCAGCACUUU
rnacentral:lncRNA from 1 species